CUUUCUGAGAGAAGUAAUCCUUCAUAAAAAUAAUGUAUCGAUGAUUGCUCUGAUAUAUCUUGUUGUGGAUAGUUUGCACAAAAGCAUUUGAACCUCUCCCAAUAGUCAUAUAGACUCUCGGAAUCCUUUUGUCGAAUUCCACAUAUUUCCCUUUUAAUGCCGGCUGCUUGGGAGGCUAGGAAGAAAUGAUCUAAAAAGGCUUUUACCAUCUCCAUCUAAGUUGUGAUUGAUCCGGGAGAUAGAUAAAACAUCCAUUCCUUUGCUGCUUCAUUUAAGGAGAAUGAAAAUACUUGUAGCUUGAUUUGUUCUUAAUAUACGCCUUGGGGUUUCAUGUUUGAGCAAACCAUAUAGAACUCUUUAAGAUGUUUGUGUGGCUUCUUAUUUUCCAUAUCUUGAAACUUGGGCAGUAAAUG
rnacentral:lncRNA from 1 species